GGUCAAUGCCGGCGCUUGGAAUUCCCUGGGGGCAGCGCGCGCGCGCGCGCGCGCGCGCGCGAGUGGUCAUGGCUUGGAGGUGUACCCAGGAGCCUCCUGUGCCUAGGGGCUGCAUCCCCGCCCCCACCCCGUCUCAGGAAUUCCGGAGGCCCCGGUCCGCGUUUGCGCUGGGGAUGGGGAGGCCUUCCUUGGACUUGCUGCUUUGGCCGAGUCCUCCGGGUUGGGGCCGGGCCAUGUGAUCUCUAGAGCCCCCCGGAACCCUGGACUCUCCAGUUGGGCUGGCCAGGGAGGAAAGUCUCAUUCACGGCUUUCCCUGAAUCUCGCCCCAGGCCCUGCGGCAGACGCUCUCUCCAGAGGCAAAGCUCUUUCAAGAGGGAGAUCCCCAAGCUCCUGGCAGCCGCUUGGUGCCCGAGGUGUGUUCUUCCCAGGGCCGUUCCAGCAGCGCAAGGAGCAAGUCUGUCCCGGAAGCGCAUGUCGAGUCUCUACUCGCGGCUCAUCACUGACGUCCCAUUGGUCAAAGCCAGUCACGUGGUGCUGUGGUCUGAAUGUUUGUGUUUCCCACAAAUUCCUAUGUCGAAAUCCUCACCCUCAAAGAAGGUGGUGACGAGAGGCGGGGCCUUCGGGAGGCGAGCAGGUCGUGAAGGUGCAGAGCAGCUCGUGAGGGUGCAGUCCUUGCAACGCCCUUAUAAAAGACACCCCGAGGGGCUCCCCAGCCCCCUCCGCCACCACGGGAGCACUCCAAGGAGGUGUCGCUGUGACCCAGAAAGAGGGUUCUCACCAGACCCUGACCAUGCCGGCACCUCGAUCUUGGACUUCCAGCCUCCAAAACUGUAGGAAUAAAUUUCCGUUGUCUGCAAGCCACCCAGACUGUGGUAUUCUGUUAUAGGAGCCCAGACGGCUGUGGCCAGAGCCGUCUGUAAAAAUUCUAUUAGUAGGGAAGCAGGAUUGAUAACUCGAUUUCUCCAUUUUUUAUCUUUAAUUUUCAUUGUGAAAAUAGUUUAAAAACAAACAAAAAAUGUCGGCAGAUAGCAUAACGAAGCCCCCUAGGACGUCACCCAGAUUCUGUAAUUAUUAAUCUUACUGUAUUUGUUGAAUCCGUCAUUUUUUUCUUGUUAAGGUUGUUCUUGACUUUUGAAAAAUUGAGGUAAAAUAUAUGUAAGAUAAAAUUUA